rnacentral:rRNA from 1 species
UGCGUAGGUGGUGAGGUAAGUCGGAUGUGAAAGCUCGGAGCUCAACUCCGAAAUGGCAUUGGAAACUACCUUGCUAGAGGGUUGGAGGGGGGACUGGAAUGCUUGGUGUAGCAGUGAAAUGCGUAGAUAUCAAGCGGAACACCAGUGGCGAAGGCGAGUCCCUGGACAACUCCUGACACUGAGGCACGAAAGCUGGGAGCAAACA